rnacentral:rRNA from 1 species
AAACGCUGGCGGCGCACAUAAGACAUGCAAGUCGAACGGAAGUCGUUGUAAUGAUAUAGACAUGGACUGAGAACUUGUUCAAAGAAAGUGAAAGUUGACUUACAACAAUGGCUUUAGUGGCGGACUGGUGAGUAACACGUAAGCAACCUGCCUAUCAGAGGGGAACAACAGUUAGAAAUGACUGCUAAUACCGCAUAUGCCUAAGUAUCACAUGAUACAAUAGGGAAAGGAGCAAUCUGCUGAUAGAUGGGCUUGCGUCUGAUUAGAUAGUUGGUGGGGCAACGGCCUACCAAGUCGACGAUCAGUAGCCGGACUGAGAGGUUGAACGGCCACAUUGGGACUGAGAUACGGCCCAGACUCCUACGGGAGGCAGCAGUCGGGAAUAUUGCGCAAUGGAGGAAACUCUGACGCAGUGACGCCGCGUGCAGGAAGAAGGUUUUCGGAUUGUAAACUGCUUUAGACAGGGAAGAAUAAAGACAGUACCUGUAGAAUAAGCUCCGGCUAACUACGUGCCAGCAGCCGCGGUAAUACGUAGGGAGCAAGCGUUAUCCGGAUUUAUUGGGUGUAAAGGGUGCGUAGACGGGAAAUUAAGUUAGUUGUGAAAUCCCUCGGCUUAACUGAGGAACUGCAACUAAAACUGGUUUUCUUGAGUGCUGGAGAGGAAAGUGGAAUUCCUAGUGUAGCGGUGAAAUGCGUAGAUAUUAGGAGGAACACCAGUGGCGAAGGCGACUUUCUGGACAGUAACUGACGUUGAGGCACAAAAGUGUGGGGAGCAAACAGGAUUAGAUACCCUGGUAGUCCACACCGUAAACGAUGGAUACUAGGUGUAGGGUGUGAUAAACAUUCUGUGCCGUCGCAAACGCAAUAAGUAUCCCACCUGGGGAGUACGGCCGCAAGGUUA